rnacentral:rRNA from 1 species
UACGUAGGGUGCGAGCGUUGUCCGGAAUUAUUGGGCGUAAAGGGCUCGUAGGCGGUUUGUCGCGUCGGGAGUGAAAUCAUCUGGCUUAACUGGGUGCUUGCUUUCGAUACGGGCAGACUAGAGGUAUGCAGGGGAGAACGGAAUUCCUGGUGUAGCGGUGAAAUGCGCAGAUAUCAGGAGGAACACCGGUGGCGAAGGCGGUUCUCUGGGCCUUACCUGACGCUGAGGAGCGAAAGCAUGGGGAGCAAACAGG